GCUCAGACAACUUUGAGACAAACUGGUAAGCGAAAACAUGCAUGUUUUCGCUUACCAGUUUGUCUCAAAGUUGUCUGAGCG
rnacentral:miRNA from 1 species